rnacentral:rRNA from 1 species
UACGGGGGGGGGCAAGCGUUGUUCGGAAUUACUGGGCGUAAAGGGCUCGUAGGCGGCCAACUAAGUCAGACGUGAAAUCCCUCGGCUUAACCGGGGAACUGCGUCUGAUACUGGAUGGCUAGAGGUUGGGAGAGGGAUGCGGAAUUCCAGGUGUAGCGGUGAAAUGCGUAGAUAUCUGGAGGAACACCGGUGGCGAAGGCGGCAUUCUGGACUGCAACUGACACUGAAAGACGAAAGCCAGGGGAGCAAACGGG